GAUGAACGCUGGCGGCGUGCCUAAUACAUGCAAGUCGAACGCGCAGCGAAAGGUGCUUGCACCUUUCAAGCGAGUGGCGAACGGGUGAGUAACACGUGGAUAACCUGCCUCAAGGCUGGGGAUAACAUUUGGAAACAGAUGCUAAUACCGAAUAAAACUUAGUAUCGCAUGAUACAAAGUUGAAAGGCGCUACGGCGUCACCUAGAGAUGGGUCCGCGGUGCAUUAGUUAGUUGGUGGGUAAAGGCCUACCAAGACAAUGAUGCAUAGCCGAGUUGAGAGACUGAUCGGCCACAUUGGGACUGAGACACGGCCCAAACUCCUACGGGAGGCUGCAGUAGGGAAUCUUCCACAAUGGGCGAAAGCCUGAUGGAGCAACGCCGCGUGUGUGAUGAAGGCUUUAGGGUCGUAAAGCACUGUUGUAUGGAAGAAUGCUAGAAUAGGGAAUGAUUCUAGUUCGACGGUACCAUACCAGAAAGGGACGGCUAAAUACGUGCCAG
rnacentral:rRNA from 1 species